UUCCAUAUAUUUUUUUAAUUAGAUGUUUUCCUUUAUAAUUUUACAAUAAUGGACCCACUUUGAAAAACAAACAAUAAAAUAGAACAUUUCAAAUCGAUAUACAAUUUAACUGAUAUCCAGUUUUGUCACUGCAGCCAAAUACUCUUCCAAUAAAGUCAUCAAUCCUGAAGAUUUUAUCCAGUCAGAUACUUCUCAUAAGAAAGCAUAGUGUACACAUGGUACAUGCACUGCAAUAUUUGUAAUAUCCUAAUUUGGUGCUUCUCCUAGAGAGGAUGUAGGCACACAUCCACUGUCCAGCAUCAGCAUACUUUGCUUACUGAUGCCAGAAGUCAAAUAGAUUAAUGUAUUGAAUCUAUUUUCAUCCAAAGCCCUUUCUAGGCAUCUUAAGGACAGCAGCUAGAGGCUUGGGAAUUGCAAAAUUUAAACAGUGUCAUUGUUUCAGAAACUGUUUAUAAUUGUAAAGCUCGACAGGCAACAUCUAUGCUCUAAAACACUUUAUUGCAAUCAAGUGAUUUUGAUACUUAGACUGCCCCUUUAAGGACCAAAAUAAUUUUGUAUUUUUUUGUCUAUGAAUUUGUUCUAGAGCACUUUAUAUAUAUUUACAUUUUUUUACACGUACAGUAUAUAAAUAUAUAUAUUUUUUGCAUUAAAUCCGUUUUUAUUUCAGUAGAGGUGUAUAACAGUGAAAAACAAACACAUAUGAACAAAUUGUAGAUAAGUGCAUUUAAAAGACAUAUGCGUUAUACAGGAAAUUUGUGAAAAAACCCCAAAACAAAAUAGUAAUAUUUCACAUCAGAAUACUAAACUAUUAACAGCACAUACAGUAGAGCUGGGACACAGACUCUGUAUUACACACCUCAGCUCAUGACUAUCAUAGAGAGUUCCAAAAAAAAAAAAGAUGGGGGGGAGAGGGAUUGGAAGAAAAAGGGGGGAAAGAAAAGUAAGUUACACUCUUCUCAGCCAUAUCAAUUCAGACCACCCACUGUAACUGUAAUAGACUGAAAGUAUUAAGUAGAAACACACUGCCAAUCACCACCACCAAUUGUUGUUCAGGUUGAGCAACACAGAGAUGAUGGGCUGCUCCUGGCCACCAGUGUUAAAGAGGUACCACUAAGUCAUCGUCAUCAACAUUGCUAACUUUGUAGUUAAUAGUUCCAUGCUAAUUUCCAGCAUUUACUUUCUCCCCUGAAGACAUUAACUAUCAUUGCAUAUAAUCAGUAUAAUCAAAGUGAAUAAAAUUAAUUUGAAAUAUUCUCAUAAAAAUAAUCACAAGUGCAAAAUAAAUGAUGUUUAACAAAAUUUCAUGACAACUUACGUUUAACAAAAUCUUCAUGUAGAGAGCUCUAAAACUAGAUUGUCAACUUGUUUUAUGAACUAGUUAUACAUGUGCACAGGCAGACUGCUGUACAGAAAUCAGCAGAGCUUGAAACUAUUCUUAUAACAAUAGUGGAACUUACUUGGAAGAAAAAAAAGCUGGAGCUAUGAUGAUCCUUCUGAAACAGAAAUAAUAUUUAGCCUAAAGUAAAACUCUCUAAUGGGAUUUGUAUACCGUAAAAUAUAUACAUGCAAAGACAUUUCAAAGUGAUAUUAAGGUUGCACUGAAGCAACUAUUUGGGUGUCUUGUGUUUAAAAAGAAGCAGUUUAAUAUUUUUACAACAAUAUACAGAAGUAAAUUGCAAGCAUUGUUCUUUAUGUUUUAUAGGGAGGGGGGUAGGAUUUUGUUUUCUAAUUUAGAAGAAUUCUGAAACACGAGUCACCAAAUCCCCCUAAACUCGUGUUUCUGUCUUGUGGCUUGUAAGAAUCUUUUUGGUAUUUUACCAUUUCUUUAUUGUAUUUGCCCUUGCUUCUGUCAUUGUGUUUAUUUUUAUUGUAUGUUUUCAUUUUGGUACUUUUUGUGCAUAAUAAAUCUACGGUUUUUGAGAUUGUUAUGGUGUGCAUUCUAUAUUCUGUAGAUAUUUGAAACAUUUGAGGGAGUGUUUAUAUGGUUUGCACCUGGCUAUUUUAAUACAACUUUGUCUCUCCAUGUGCUGUUGUUUUGCAAACAACAACUAGAUGCAUACUUGCAAAAACAGAAUAUUCAAGGAUAUACUUUUUCAAUGUAGGAUAAUAGCUUCUUGAUCCAAAGAUAAUUCUGACUGCCAUUCUGGGGUCAAGAAUGCAUUUUUUUUCCUAGUUUGUUUCAAAUAUGGAAGUAUUUCAAACUGGGGUUUUUUUUGCCUUCUUUUGGAUCAACAGCAAAAAACAAAUGUGAGGAAGGCUGAACCUGAUGGACGCAAGUCUCUUUUCAGUUAUGUAACUAUGUAACUAUGUAUACAUGACUCAAAAAUAGCAAAUUUAGUCUUGGCAAUCCUCACUUAGGUAUAAUAUAUGAACAGAGAGUUCUCAAUCUUCUGAUCACUUAUCAAUGAUCCCAUAUUGCUUUCAAUGGGGAGAUUUAUCAGCUGAAAACUAGACCCUAAGAGCUAAAUAAUAAGCAAUCACCAUGGAAACCAACAGAAUGUCACUCAACAAAAACAAAAAUAUCUCCUCAUUUAUCUGAAGAAGAAAGGUAUUUUAAAGUGCUGCUUCUUUCUGAUUCCCAUUUACAAAAACACCUAUCUCUGUUUUCAGUAAAUAAACUUUCCUUUUUGAGGUAUUUUAGAAUUCAUCUACUUAAAAAAUAGCUUGGCUUUUGUGGUUGCAAUACAAAAAGUGCUCCAAGCUAAACUAGGAAAAAACAUUGCAUAAAUGAAUGAAAUCACCAUUACUUGUGUUCCCAGGCAAAUAUGGGACUGUAUUUACCUUAUGAAAUCCACCAAGGUACUGCAAAAUACUUUGUCUUUGUACCUCGUAAUCCACUCCAUGCACUCCUCACCUUAUUUGAAGGUUUCUAAUAUGACCACUGCCAUGGAGGAUUUUGGUACAGCGGGGCAUGCGGAGGACUGAAUUUCCUCACCUAAACAGUCUACAUCUGCAGACUGUUUGACAGUCUUUUAUUUUAUCCGAUUCUCUCUAAUAAUCAGCUCCGGGUUGUUUUGGACUAGUUUUAUAGUGUUCAAUUAUUAGCGUUGUUCAUUUGAGGUUUUUGUAUGGUUAUUUCCAUUCCAGGUUUUAGAGCAAUAUUUAGUUGAUAAUCCCCUAUCUCCAUAUCUCUCAUUUAUAGGAGGUGAAGCUUUUUAGCCAGAUAAAGCAAGAUACUAGAUACAAGAUACUAAAGCCCCCGUAAUGGACCUGCAUAAAGAUUUGCCGGGUGAGAAGACCGAUAAAUCAACAACUGAUAAUGUAGUUGACAUACAUAACGCAAUCACAAGUACUCUGUCCUAACGGCUGAACUGUAGCCACUGCAAUCCAAGUUGACAGACCUUGAGGAUCUGUUCUGAUGAAACAAUUUAAAACAACCUCCUAACCUUUAUAUAAAGGGUACUUUUCCUUCAUUCCAAAUAUACACAGAAAAAGGCAUUUAAUGUUACCAUUAGGCUUUGGUAAUGUAUUUAUUUUAAUGAUAUGCAUUCUCUAUACUAAUCGCACACUCCCAUCCCACCCACAAUGGCCUUAGUUUACAUUUGUUAGUUCACCCAUUGUAAAGUGCUAUGGAAUUUGUUGGCGCUAUAUAAAAAUAAUAAUAAUAUGUCCCUCCCUCCUUUUGUAGUUUAAUACCAAUUUUCUAACCAUUCUCUUCCACUGCACAGCAAACCCUCUUUAAUUCAGGUGUUUUACAUCACACCUCUUAAGAUUCUACCCAAGUGAAAAAUCAGCUCAAUUCUCCUUGUUACACCAUGCCUUUAGACAUGCAUUUAUCUCCCUAAUCACUUAUCUUCCUGCAUUUCCACCGUACCAUAUUGCAGAAGUAAUAUCUAAAAUAAAAUAUUUAAUUAUGAUAUAUUGGAAGCAGUUUUAUUCAAAUUCUCCAAAUACAUUAUUUUAUUUUGAUUUACCCUUUAAGUCCCCCCAUCUUCCUCUGCACUUGUCAUUAGUUCUAAUUUGGACCAUGACAGCUGGGUAAUCUCUGGACAUUCCUUCAAAUCUAUCCACUAUUUCAGCAGUAUUGCAAUUUGUUUCUCCGGAUCUCAAAUUUGAACUUCCAGAGAAGUCACUUGCUCCCACUUGCUGUAGAGGUAUGGACUCGGAAAGAAAGGUAUGCAUACAUUCAGUAAACAGGGCACUGUAUUAGUCCUGCUUUCUAUGUUUCUAUUUUGGGGACUCAGUGUUAUUACUCAGUAUCAAUUUUGGAAAAAUGAAUGUGGAACUGUCAACUUUGAGAUAUAACAGUUGGAGUUCUAUCUAUAGAGAUAUCGAAUUGUACAUUUCAUGUACUUACUAUAAAAACAAAACCUCUUCUAGCCCCUUUUUGCUUUGCAGAAGAUAAUAGAUUUUGAUGGAAGGUGUAAUUAGUGUUUAAAGGGACACUAUAGUCACCCAGACCACUUCAGGUCAAUGAAGUGGUCUGUGUGCAAGGUCCCUCAGGUUUUAAUCCUUCACAUGUAAACAUAGCAGUUUCAGAGAAAUCUGCAUCCAACGUGAAGAACGUCCAUAGGAACGUCCUAUUGACUGUUUGAAUGCGCGCGCCUUCCGCUCCACUUGGGAGCUGAUUUCGGCAGGGGAGGAGAGGUCACCAGCGCCGAGGGAGCCCAGCGUUGGAUUAAGGUAAACUGCUGAAGGGUUUUUAACCCCUUCAGCCCAGCGGGAGGGGGACCCUGAGGGUGAGGGUCCCCCCAAAGAUGAUAUAGUGUCAGGAAAACGAGUUUGUUUUCCUGACACUAUAGUAAUCCUUUAACUAUUUAAUGAAAUAAUUUUUUGUACAACAAUUUCACCAGUAUUAUUUAUCUUAGUUAUUAAAAGUAAAAAAUAAAUAUUAUGCAGUAAAACUUACUAAAUUGGAAAGUUUUACAUCUGUUAUAAAUAAUAUGCUGUAUUUACUAUCAACAUAUUUUAAAUACAAUCCCUUUACCUGCUUCUUUAGAGAUCUGGUCUAUUUCCUACAUAAAGUUGUUCAAACACACCUAAAUCACCUGCUAAUCAGAAACUGAGUAAAGCACUCAGAGUUGGUAAUGCUACAGACAACAUCAUAUUAAGUGAAUAUUGCCCCAUUUCCAGAAAUGCUGUUACAUAUACACAAAAAAAAAUAGUUAAAGCAUGAUACUUACUAAUGUGAUAAAAAGCAUGUUAACAUUAUUUGUAGCAUUCAUCUUAGUGAAAGUUGGAUCUUUG